rnacentral:rRNA from 1 species
GACGAACCGAGCGAACGUUGUUCGGAAUCACUGGGCUUAAAGGGCGCGUAGGCGGGGGCUCAAGUCCGUGGUGAAAUCCUCCGGCUCAACCGGAGAACUGCCUCGGAUACUGGGCGUCUCGAGUGUGGUAGGGGUAUGCGGAACUAUCGGUGGAGCGGUGAAAUGCGUUGAUAUCGAUAGGAACUCCGGUGGCGAAGGCGGCAUACUGGACCACUACUGACGCUGAUGCGCGAAAGCCAGGGGAGCAAACGGG